rnacentral:rRNA from 1 species
CCUACGGGGGGCAGCAGUGGGGAAUUUUGGACAAUGGGCGAAAGCCUGAUCCAGCAAUGCCGCGUGAGUGAAGAAGGCCUUCGGGUUGUAAAGCUCUUUUGUCAGGGAAGAAACGGUGAGGGCUAAUAUCCCUCGCUAAUGACGGUACCUGAAGAAUAAGCACCGGCUAACUACGUGCCAGCAGCCGCGGUAAUACGUAGGGUGCAAGCGUUAAUCGGAAUUACUGGGCGUAAAGCGUGCGCAGGCGGUUUUGUAAGUCUGACGUGAAAUCCCCGGGCUCAACCUGGGAAUUGCGUUGGAGACUGCAAGGCUAGAAUCUGGCAGAGGGGGGUAGAAUUCCACGUGUAGCAGUGAAAUGCGUAGAGAUGUGGAGGAACACCGAUGGCGAAGGCAGCCCCCU